rnacentral:rRNA from 1 species
AUCGAACGCUGGCGGUAGGCCUAAUACAUGCAAGUCGAGCGAGCGGCGGACGGGGGAGUAAUGUAUGGGGACCUGCCCGAUCGAGGGGUAUAACUACUGGAAACGGUGGCUAAUACUGCAUACUAUCGGAUGAACCCAUGUGGGAUUAGCUAGUAGGUGGGGGAAAGGCUCACCAAGGCGACGAUGUCUAGCUGGGCUGAGAGGGUGAUCAGCCACACUGGGACUGAGACACGGCCCAGACUCCUACGGGAGGCAGCAGUGGGGAAUAUUGCGCAAUGGACGAAAGUCUGAUCGAGCAAUGCCGCGUGAGUGAAGAAGGGCUUAGGAUUGUAAAAUACUGUCGGCAGAGAAGCGUUACCCAAAGAGGAAGCAACGGCUAACUCCGUGCCAGCAGCCGCGGUAAUUC